UGUAAUGGCGGCUGUGCGCGGGCAUGCUUCGGCGUGGCCGAGUUCCUGGAGACUUGGUUUUCUCACUCCGCGUACAGCUGCCACCCAC
rnacentral:antisense_RNA from 1 species